rnacentral:misc_RNA from 1 species
AAAAAACUUUGCAAUGAUUAUAAUAAUUUGGAUUUCCAUUAAAAAAAGAACCUCAAGAAAUUCUGAUGCUUUCUUCUCCAGUUUGUGUGGCAAUGAGAAAAUUAUAUAGAAUAGAAUAGACAGGCUAAAAAAGAAAGAGAAAAAGGAGCAAACUUUUCAAUUUUUGUAAUGCCUAUGGUUACUGUGGAAGAGAGAGAAAACAGGAAACAGAGGCAGAAUGCUCGCCUUAACCAUUAAUUACUUUGAUUAAUACAGCUUAAUCUUCUUCUAUAAUUGGGUUUACAAACCAAACCUUUGCGGCGAGGUCACUCAGUAACGGAAAGGAACUGAUUCCCCCACCGCAACUCACCCACCCUUUUGCUUCUCCUGAUCAAUUUUUUUUUUAUUUUUUAGAAUUUGAUGAAUUAUUUUCACGUAUUCUCGAUUCCCAUCCAAAAUUAUUAUUAGGGUUUUCAAUUUUAAUUCUUUUAAAACAUUUAGGACUAUUGAUUCUUGUUUGCGUAUCCAAAGAGUGGUGGCUGGUGAGGGAUAUUCCAGAUUUCUACGUUAAUUUCCGUGUUGUUUUGACCUUUUUCAUCUUUUUAAUAUAUAUAUAUUCGUUUUUUUUAUUCUUUAUCGGUGUCUGAUUUCUUGUAAUUUUCUGGGGGAUUAUUAGGUUUUUUCGUGGCGGCUUCUUGAUCUUUUCCCUGUAAUUUGGAGAUUAGAUUAUUUGAUAGCAUUUUUAGUUAGUGGAUUUUGUGUGUUAAUGGUGGUAUGUGAGUGCUAUUAAUUAGUUAUGUUAAAGAAGCAAAGCACCUUCCGUUUGUUCUUUAACCAUUUAUCUACCCUAAAUCAUCACCGUCACUGCCAUCAUUAUAGAGCUCUGAUCAUGGCUUAUGUAACCCCUAACGAUUCUUUCUUCAAGGGAUUUCACAAUCUAACUCAGCCGGCUACGUCUUCCUCGUCAAUUGUUCCUUAUUCUAAGAUCAAUACUGUUUCCAUUGACAAUACUAGUAGUGCUAUUUCUGGUUUUAGGAUAAACAGAGGCGGCGGUGUUGGAUUGACGCUGAGAGGCUGCUUUGACUCUCACGAAACCGGGAAUGAAAGGAGGCCUCGUGCAUUUGCCGCUCCCCACCAUCAACUAGUGCGUGAUCUCGAGACUCGACUGGAAGAUAGCAGCAGCAGCAGCAAUAGUGCUCGAUACAUAAAUGGUCACGGGACUUGUCAAGGUGGAAAGCUUUUUCGCUUCCCUGACUACCCUCUUACUGGAAAAAUUGCCGUGGCAGUUGAUGUUGAUGAGGUUCUUGGGAACUUUGUAUCGGCUUUGAACAGAUUUAUUGCUGAUCGGUACUCUUCCAAUCAUUCAGUAUCAGAGUACUAUGUUUACGAGUUCUCCAAGAUAUGGAACUGUUCCCGUGAUGAAGGUAUAGCCAGAAGUCCUUUAUAAUGCUAAAUUUUAGUUUGCCAUGCAAUGAAGCAUUUAGUCCCUUUAAAUGUACAUUUUUGUAUGAAAUUCCUGAAGUUUUUCUGAUGAAAAUUCAGACUGAUGGUCUUGCUACUGAGACACAUUAAUAUUGUUGACUGUAUUAUUUUUCUUUGUUUUGAGCUGUUUCUCAGAGAAAAGGUUCAUUUAGAAGUUGUGGUCUGGCUUUUAGUAGCUGUGUCAAAACUCAGAAGUAAUGGAGUAAUCUUUGUGGAUUCUCUCAAAUAAGAUGCGCGUAUGUGAAAAUAAGUCUUGUAACUUGAGUAACUCCUACUAAGUAACAAGAGGUUUUUCAAGGUUUCAAAACCUUGGAUAUGUGUUGGGGAGAACAUGUAGUUUUUUAAAGAACAUGUAGUGUUUAAAGUAAGGUUUUUGGAGGUUUUUGAAAACUUCCAAAAACCUCCAUUUCUAACCCACCAAAUUGGUGGAUUGAGAAGGUUUUUUUUUUUCUUUAAAACCUUCAAAUGCCUUAAAGAAUUUCCAUUUCUCUCAACCGAUAAAAAAUUAUUUUAAAAAUAUAAAAAACUUUACUUUAAAAAAUUUUACUUAAAAAAAAAAAAUCUUACUUUACCUCCUUCCAAAUAACGUGUAAAAUUCCAAAAUGCAGUUUUGGAAACUUCAAAGGGUUUGUUCUUUCUAUCGUGUGGAUGUUCAACCUUACCAUGUGACUUUCAGUUUGAAUAUUUCUCAAUGUUCAAAUUUAAAAUGAAAUAACUUCCAAGAUAGAGGAAUACAUGUUAGCCUGAAUUGUUGUUCUGGAAGUAAAAAACUGCUUGGAUUUUGUCUAAUUGAAUUAGAGGAUUACUGUACCAUGAUUUUGGUUGUGGGAGAUUUGCAGCCAAUGCUCGUGUCCAUGAGUUCUUUAAGACACCAUAUUUCAAAUCUGGGAUCUACCCAAUCCCCGGUGCUCAGCAGGCGCUUCAUAAGUUGUCAAGACUUUGUAAACUGUCUGUUGUGACGUCUCGGCAGAAUAUUAUCAAGGAUCACACAAUUGAGUGGAUAGAGAAGCACUAUCCAGGAGUGUUUCAAGAGAUACACUUUGGCAACCACUUUGCUCUGGAUGGAGAGUCCAGACCUAAGUCAGAAAUAUGCAGGUCCUUAGGUGCAACAGUGCUGAUUGAUGAUAACCCAAGAUAUGCCAUCGAAUGUGCUCAAGUUGGAAUCAGGGUUUUGCUUUUUGAUUAUGAGAACUCAUAUCCUUGGAGCAAGAGUGAUUCAGUUCAUCAGCAUCCCUUGGUCUCUAUAGUUCAUAACUGGGAACAAGUAGAGGAACGACUAAUAUCGUUGAUUUCUUAGUUUUAAAUGAUUUCAGAACAAUUCGCAAAAGUAUCAUCUAUUCGUUGAUAUGCUAUAAUUGAUUCUUAUGCCUGGAACAUUGAAAUGCAUGCUGCCGACGAAGCUGACCUUAUGGUGUAGACUGUAGAGGCUUUUGGGAAUACAACUGUAAGGAGACCAGCGAAAUAAGCUUCUGGUGAAUGAGCAAUAGCAGCAUCUGAAUUAUAGUAUUAGUAGUGAAGUGACGAUCUUGUAUAUUUUUCUUACUUUUGAGGCAUGUUGAGGAGAUCUAGGACACUAAAUUGCCAAUGGACAGAAUACCAUGUGGCCCUUCCUUUUUUAUUUUAUUUUAUUUUAAUUUCAUUUAAGAUUAUUUGGGGGCAGGUUAGAGGUUAUUUUCUCAGCAAGGUUGAAGUUAAAUUUUGGGUUAAAUCUAUUGGCUUAUGUGGAUCUGAUAAGGAAACAAUUUUACAAAUAGAUAAGUCAUCUUAAUUGGUGAUUCACUUGAUUCAGGCUUGAUUCAUGUAUGUUUGUGAUUUGGUCAAUGUCUCAAAUUAUGUGGAUUGGGAGUCAACUUGAAUUGAAUGAUUCUAGGGGCAUUUCCUUCUUAGGUAGAAUAGCGUCCAAUAGAAUUUAUUCAUUUCUUUGAGGAUAAAGAAUAUAUUACCUGAUUUCUUGUUCUUGAUAUCUGUUUAUGGUUUUGUCCUGGAAGAAUAGUUUUUAAUUAUUGAUUUGACAUGUCUGAUGGAGAAAUUAUGAAGAAUUGUUAUGUGUUUCGAAGUCUUUCAACCAUCCUUUCACUGCUAGUAUAGUGUAAAAUAAGAAAUGUUGUUUAACGUGAGCAAGUUAAAUACAAACUCAAAGUCCUUAAGAAGUAAUUAAAUGUCUGUGGAGGGAUGGAAAUGCAAAAGCAUUCUGCAGAGGGAUAAGGGUUUCUUGCUAUCUUACAGACAGAUGGUUAAAACUUGAGACUUUGGUCUCCUGGAUAACUUUAUGUAAAUAUA